rnacentral:lncRNA from 1 species
ACGCCGGCGUAGUUCUGCCAGUCGUCUGGAGUUGCCGCCACCGUCGCCAGCUGGACCCUCGGCAGCCGCUGCUGUCGUUCUCGGGCUCCGAUGAGGCCGAGGAAGUUGCCGUUGUUGCGGCUCGACUGUGCAGGGCCGCGUUCGAUGCCUUUCUAAAAGCUAAGUUCGAAGCUUGUCUACUUGAAGUUUCCGUUAUGUAGGAGAUACAAAGGAGCUAUGUUCUAAGUCGUAUGAUUCAUUCAAUCUCUUAAAUAUUUCAUAAUCAAUGUGUGAGGUCCUCAUGGUUUGUGUUCUAGAGUGCAGUGGCAGUAUACACAUAAGUCUUUCUAUUGCUAUACAUAACAUGGACUGUUUGAUGUAGUGGUAAAACAUGAUUAUGCUCGUUGGUAUGAAUGCGAACUCGAUUGGAUAACUGAGGUAGUAUAAAUACCUUGAAUGAUGCUUGCUUUGGUGUUUGUUGGCUGUUGUGGUUGGAUUAAAUGAAGCAGCAGAUCGAACUGAAAUAAUAAAGUUGUUCUUGCAUUAAUGCAGGUGGAAUAAGGGAAGAAGGUGGAGCAUUGAAGACAAGCUUACCUUGAGAAUACUUGGUAGGAUGAAUUAAAGGCUCACUUCUCCUUGUGCAGUCCUCAAAUGAAGAAUGAAGAGAAUGCAACAAUGUUGGCUGUUUUGAAUGACGAGGUGGUUUGGCUGGGAGCUUGUAUACAUGGGAGGAGGUACAUUCUAGGGUGGCUGAUUGACAUAUUUAGGUGUACUUGGGCAUGGCAGCCUGCUGCAUAGGCGUGGGAAAAAAAAAAAGUGCAGCAAGCUCAAGAGGGGAUAGGGGAGUGUGCAGCACAUGUCUCCACCCCCUUUCUCUUUUUCCCAUUUUCUUGAACUUAGGGGGGUGGCAGAGUACUGUAGCAACACUGUUGAGUACUGUAGCAAUAACUAUUGAGUACUGUAGCGGC